rnacentral:rRNA from 1 species
CCCUUAGAUGUUCUGGGCCGCACGCGUGCUACACUGAGUGGAUCAGCGGGUCAGGUUGCGCGAAAGUGUUUCCUAAUCUUUAAAUCCGCUCGUGAUGGGGAUUGACGGUUGCAAUUUUCCGUCAUGAACGAGGAAUACCUUGUAAGCGCGGGUCAUCAUCCCGCGCUGAAUACGUCCCUGCCCUUUGUACACACCGCCCGUCGCUACUACCGAUUGAAUGGUUUAGUGAGGACUCCUGAUUGGCGCCGCCGCCCCGGCAACGGAGCAGCGGACUGCCGAAAAGUUGUUCAAACUUGAUCAUUUAGAGGAAGUAAAAGUCGUAACA